rnacentral:rRNA from 1 species
AUACGUAGGGGGCGAGCGUUGUCCGGAAUGAUUGGGCGUAAAGGGCGCGUAGGCGGCCCGGUAAGUCUGGAGUGAAAGUCCUGUUUUUAAGAUGGGAAUUGCUUUGGAUACUGUCGGGCUUGAGUGCAGGAGAGGUAAGUGGAAUUCCCAGUGUAGCGGUGAAAUGCGUAGAGAUUGGGAGGAACACCAGUGGCGAAGGCGACUUACUGGACUGUAACUGACGCUGAGGCGCGAAAGUGUGGGGAGCAAACAGGAUUAGAUACCCUGGUAGUCCACACUGUAAAGGAUGAAUGCUAGGUGUAGGGGGUAUCGACCCCUUCUGUGCCGCAGUCAACACAAUAAGCAUUCCGCCUGGGGAGUACGGCCGCAAGGUUGAAACUCAAAUGAAU